GAUGAACGCUGGCGGCGUGCCUAAUACAUGCCAGUCGAGCGAACAGAUGAGGAGCUUGCUCCUCUGACGUUAGCGGCGGACGGGUGAGUAACACGUGGAUAACCUACCUAUAAGACUGGGAUAACUUCGGGAAACCGGAGCUAAUACCGGAUAAUAUAUUCAACCGCAUGGUUCAAUAGUGAAAGACGGUUUUGCUGUCACUUAUAGAUGGAUCCGCGCCGCAUUAGCUAGUUGGUAAGGUAACGGCUUACCAAGGCAACGAUGCGUAGCCGACCUGAGAGGAUGAUCGGCCACACUGGAACUGAGACACGGUCCAGACUCCUACGGGAGGCAGCAGUAGGGAAUCUUCCGCAAUGGGCGAAAGCUUGACGGAGCAACGCCGCGUGAGUGAUGAAGGUCUUCGGAUCGUAAAACUCUGUUAUUAGGGAAGAACAAAUGUGUAAGUAACUAUGCACGUCUUGACGGUACCUAAUCAGAAAGCCACGGCUAACUACGUG
rnacentral:rRNA from 1 species